rnacentral:rRNA from 1 species
UAAUACGAAGGGGGCUAGCGUUGUUCGGAAUCACUGGGCGUAAAGCGUAUGCAGGCGGAUCGUUAAGUCGGGGGUGAAAUCCCGAGGCUCAACCUCGGAACUGCCUUCGAUACUGGCGAUCUUUGAGUCCGGGAGAGGUGAGUGGAACUGCGAGUGUAGAGGUGAAAUUCGUAGAUAUUCGCAAGAACACCAGUGGCGAAGGCGGCUCACUGGCCCGGUACUGACGCUGAGAUACGAAAGCGUGGGGAGCAAACAGGAUUAGAUACCCUGGUAGUCCACGCUGUAAACGAUGAAUGCUAGCCGUCGGGGAGUUUACUCUUCGGUGGCGCAGCUAACGCAUUAAGCAUUCCGCCUGGGGAGUACGAUCGCAAGAUUA